rnacentral:lncRNA from 1 species
GUCCUCAAAGAAAGGACACCGAGCAGAGGAGCGUCUUCGAUCGCCUCGGCGAAAGAGUGCUCAUGACACCGACACAUUAUUGUACUAAGUCCGGUGAAUCCCCGUCACGAGCUGACGAGUAUUCAAUCCAUUCGUAAGAGAAGAAUCCGGUUCGCCCCGGCAACCCGAGGCUCCUUGACUGCUUCCCGGCUGGGAGCUAAGGGGCUGGGGUCGGGCGAGCGGCCGAUCUAACCGCCGCACAACUAUAGCGGGGCGUGCAAGCACGGGACCCGCUGAACUCCUCCCCUGGUCGGCAACUGAAGCGUCCUGCCGACCAGGGACCUGCGUCAAGGGCGCAGGGCAUGGGGGCGCCAUCGGGGCUCUGAAGCCCGAGCCCCCCGGAGCCCGCGCCCUCUCUCCGAUCAGCCUCAGGGCGCG